rnacentral:rRNA from 1 species
AUUGAACGCUGGCGGCAGGCCUAACACAUGCAAGUCGAACGCGUGGCGGCCGGGUGAGUAAUGUCUGGGAAACUGCCCGAUGGAGGGGGAUAACUACUGGAAACGGUAGCUAAUACCACAUACCAUCGGAUGUGCCCAGAUGGGAUUAGCUCGUAGGUGGGGUAACGGCUCACCUAGGCGACGAUCCCUAGCUGGUCUGAGAGGAUGUCCAGCCACACUGGAACUGAGACACGGUCCAGACUCCUACGGGAGGCAGCAGUGGGGAAUAUUGCACAAUGGGCGCAAGCCUGAUGCAGACAUGCCGCGUGUAUGAAGAAGGCCUUCGGGUUGUAAAGUACUUUCAGCGAGGAGGCGUUACUCGCAGAAGAAGCACCGGCUAACUCCGUGCCAGCAGCCGCGGUAAUAC